CACAGUUCAUGUUCUUAAUCUUCAUACUGGGCUCCAAUUAUGUCGUUACGGAGAUGAUUAACUGGGUUUUCAUGGGUGGUUUUAAUGUCCGAGGCGCAGAGGUCAUAUCAAACUUACCACCAGGAUCACUAAACGGUCCAUUAAAAUCCCAGCAACUUCCCCGAGAGGCUCCCCAUUAUGUAUUUCCCAAGGCCAUAGAGAAGAUUAGCUGGAUUUUCAUGGGUGGUUUUAAUGUCCAAGGCAGUGAGGUCAUGUCAAACUUACCACCAGGAUCACUAAACGGUCCGUGAAAAUCCCAGUAACUUCCCCGAGAGGCUCCCCAUUAUGUAUUUCCCAAGGUCAUAGAAAAGAUUAGCUGGAUUUUCAUGGGUGGUUUUAAUGUCCGAGGCAGUGAAGUCAUGUCAAACUAACCACCAGGAUCACUAAACGGUCCGUGAAAAUCCCAGCGACUUCCCCGAGAGGCUCCCCAUUACGUAUUUCCCAAGGCCAUAGAGAAGAUUAGCUGGGUUUUCAUGGGUGGUUUUAAUGUCCGAGGCACAGAGGUCAUGUCAAACUUACCACCAGGAUCACUAAACGGUCCGUGAAAAUCCCACCAACUUCCCCGAGAGGCUCCCCAUUAUGUAUUUCCCAAGGCCAUAGAAAAGAUUAGCUGGGUUUUCAUGGGUGGUUUUAAUGUCCGAGGCGCAGAGGUCAUAUCAGACUUACCACCAGGAUCACUAAACGGUCCGUGAAAAUCCCACCAACUUCCCCGAGAGGCUCCCCAUUAUGUAUUUCCCAAGGCCAUAGAAAAGAUUAGCUGGAUUUUCAUGGGUGGUUUUAAUGUCCAAGGCAGUGAAGUCAUAUCAAACUUACCACCAGGAUCACUAAACUGUCCAUUAAAAUCCCAGUAACUUCCCCGAGAGGCUCCCCAUUACGUAUUUCCCAAGGCCAUAGAAAAGAUUAGCUGGAUUUUCAUGGGUGGUUUUAAUGUCCAAGGCGCAGAGGUCAUGUCAGACUACCACCAGGAUCACUAAACGGUCCAUUAAAAUCCCAGCGACUUCCCCGAGAGGCUCCCCAUUAUGUAUUUCCCAAGGCCAUAGAAAAGAUUAUCUGGAUUUUCAUGGGUGGUUUUAAUGUCCAAGGCAGUGAAGUCAUGUCUAACUUACCACCAGGAUCACUUAACAGUCCAUUAAAAUCCCAGUAACUUCCCCGAGAGGCUUUUUAUACAGGCGAUGUGAGGUGUUGAAAUGCUGAAGAAAUAGAGAAAGAUUUGCAUAGGUUUAGUCUACCCCGAACGGCGAUAUCUCCUCACGCUAACACACAAAUUAAUCAGCGUUCGUACUCAUUAACCGUCAUUAGUUCUGGAAUACUGUGAGUCGUUUAGAAGAAGAGAAAGAUUUGCAUAGGUUUAGUCUACCCCGAACGGCGAUAUCUCCUCACGCUAACACACAAAUUAAUCAGCGUUUGUACUCAUUAACCGUCAUUAGUUCUGGAAUACUGUGAGUCGUUUAGAAGAAGAGAAAGAUUUGCAUAGGUUUAGUCUACCCCGAACGGCGAUAUCUCCUCACGCUAACACACAAAUUAAUCAGCGUUCAUAUCUAUUAACCGUCAUUAAUUCUGGAAUACCGUGAGUCACUCUGAAGGUCAUGGUUGAGUGGGGAACGCAGAAAGAGCAGUUAUUAGCGCCUGUAAUAUCCAUCAUCUUCAGCCUCCCCCGCAUGCAAAUUCGAUCAAUUACUCCGUUGAUUACGUUUAUAUCUUAAUUACUCUCACUUUUGCCGUGUACGCUAAUCACCGCUAAUUUGGUCGUAACCUGUGACAGCGAACACUUGUACACUGGUGAAUCUAACACCCACGAGACUGAUUGCGUUAAUUUGCUGUUCCGUGAUGUUACGUGCGGAAGAACGUGUUUUACCUCGCUGUUUACGUUAACUCAUUAUUAAAGCUUUUUACAACACUACAUAUUAUACAUUUACAUUCACAGUUUGUUGUAGUAGAGGAGGAAGAGUGUAUCUAGACGCCUCUUCACCCAAAAUUGACCUCUCUUUUGGGUACUCUUUAAUCUUUUACGAGAGCGACCCACAAAAUUCUGAGCUAGCGAGUGGGGAAGAGUUGGUACUUAGGAUUUAGUGUCUACAAUACUCUAUACGGAGACUUGAGAUGAGUUUGUAUUGUUUAUUUUCCUCUUUUUUUUAUUUGCGCAUGUUCUAGUACAAGUCUUUAUGAAGCCACUGACCGAAUUUAUUGGGGUACGAUAUAUCUGUGAGGGUAAAAUAUGUCUGGGAAUGUAGAGUAUCGCGGCAGCAAAAAAAGGCCGGUCUUGCCUGAGAAAUGCAUGAUGAGUGGAACGGAAACUUUUGGAAACUUACAGUGUGCGAGAGGGUUACAGGGAAAACAAUAAAAAGUAGAGAAAAACAAUAAAAAGAAGAGGAAACAAAAAAAAACAUCAACACUGCCCUCUCAAAUAACAACUACCCCACAAAAAAGUCCACAAAUAACAAUAACAAUAAUAACAGAAAUAACAUAAACCUACACUCGUCACCUCUACUAAAAAAAUCAUUCGUCGCCGCAGCCGUUCCCAGACCUCAUGACGACUCGAACGGCCUUGCUGAGUACUUAAUCCAAGGGCUGAGUCAUGCUAACUGAUUGCCACAUAAGAAUAUUAACUAGUCUUUAUGGUGCCGGGAAUGAGACUGCAAAAUGUAUAGGUCGGCAGUGAGUACGAGAGAGUAGAAUAUUAGCUCAUCUUUACGGCACGGGGAAUUAGACGGUGAAAUAUAUUGGUCGGCAUUGAAUAGAGGAGAGUAGAAUUUUAGCUCAUCUUUACGGCAAGGGGAAUUAGACGGUGAAAUAUAUUGGUCAA